rnacentral:rRNA from 2 species
GUCCCGCAACGAGCGCAACCCUUAUGACUAGUUGCCAGCAUUUAGUUGGGCACUCUAGUAAGACUGCCGGUGACAAACCGGAGGAAGGUGGGGAUGACGUCAAAUCAUCAUGCCCCUUAUGACCUGGGCUACACACGUGCUACAAUGGAUGGUACAACGAGUUGCGAGACCGCGAGGUCAAGCUAAUCUCUUAAAGCCAUUCUCAGUUCGGACUGUAGGCUGCAACUCGCCUACACGAAGUCGGAAUCGCUAGUAAUCGCGGAUCAGCACGCCGCGGUGAAUACGUUCCCGGGCCUUGUACACACCGCCCGUCACACCAUGAGAGUUUGUAACACCCGAAGCCGGUGGCGUAACCCUUUUAGGGAGCGAGCCGUCUAAGGUGGGACAAAUGAUUAGGGUGAAGUCGUAACAAGGUAGCCGUAGGAGAACCUGCGGCUGGAUCACCUCCUUUCU